rnacentral:rRNA from 1 species
AGUACUGUCCUACGGGGGGCAGCAGUAGGGAAUUUUCGUCAAUGGGCGCAAGCCUGAACGAGCAAUGCCGCGUGAACGAGGAAGGUCUUCGGAUCGUAAAGUUCUGUUGAGAGGGAAAAGGGUCACCAGAGGAAAUGCUGGUGAAGUGAUAUUACCUUUCGAGGAAGUCACGGCUAACUACGUGCC